UGCCAGCCGCCGCGGUAAUACAGAGAGAACAAGCGUUAAUCGGAAUUACUGGGCGUAAAGCGCACGUAGGUGGAUACUUUAGUCGGAUGUGAAAGCCCCGGGCUUAACCUGGGAAUAGCAUUCGAUACUGGGUAUCUAGAGUAUAGUAGAGGGAAGUGGAAUUUCCGGUGUAGCGGUGAAAUGCGUAGAUAUCGGAAGGAACACCAGUGGCGAAGGCGACUUCCUGGACUAAUACUGACACUGAGGUGCGAAAGCGUGGGGAGCAAACAGGAUUAGAUA
rnacentral:rRNA from 1 species